GACGAACGCUGGCGGCGGGCUUAACACAUGCAAGUCGAACGAGAACCCCGGGUUCGCCUGGGGGGAAGGUGGCGCACGGGUGAGUAACACGUAGGCAACCUGCCCUCGAGUGGGGAAUAACACCGGGAAACCGGUGCUAAUACCGCAUAUUGUCUUUAGUAUGCAUGUACUGAAGAUGAAAGCUAUAUGCGCUCGAGGAUGGGCCUGCGGUGGAUUAGGUAGUUGGUAGGGUAACGGCCUACCAAGCCAUCGAUCCAUAGCUGGUCUGAGAGGAUGAUCAGCCACACUGGCACUGAGACACGGGCCGAGACUCCUACGGGAGGCAGCAGUGAGGAAUAUUGCGCAAUGGGCGAAAGACCUGACGCAGCCACGCCGCGUGGAGGAUGACACCCCUCUGGGGCGUAAACUCCUUUUAUAUGAGAAGAAACCCUCGUUCGUCGAGGAUUGACGGUAUCAU
rnacentral:rRNA from 1 species